GCGAAAGCCUGUCUGCAGAUGAAGAGGUCCCAAUGAAGAGUAGUGGUUCUCAGUCCUGGUGCUGGGGACUCAAGCUUCAAGGGAUACCUUGCAACUGGAGAUUCCUUCAAAACGAUUGCCUACAGUUACCGUGUAGGGCACUGCAAGGUUGGGUGACCAGGGCCAUCUGGGACUGCCUCCUGGGGGAAUUCAGGCCUGUGUGUGAAGGCUUCCUGUGUCCUGCAUAACUUCAUGAGGAUGGACACGAGGUCCAGGAGGGGAUCUGUAGCUCGCCGCCGUGUGCCAGAGGAGAAGUCUGCUGCUCUGCAGGAUGUUUCAAGGAUGGGGGCCAACAACGCAGCACGGCAGGCAAUCUGUGUGCGGGAGAUCUUCACCUCCUACUUCUUCGAAGAGGGUGCUGUUCCCUGGCAACACCAUAGACUACACUAUGCACAACCAAAGGCUCUUUUAAGAGCCAUCCACAUUGCAAUACGAGUAUUCUUCCAUUUACUUAGCUAUGUCAACUGCAGUUAUUACAUUCCCAGUUUCUCUACCUUUUGAUUUCUGCUUCUCAGGUGAGGGUGCUGUUCAGGUAAAGGUGAUGUCUGUACAAAAACAAAACAGGCUAUUUUAAGAGUCACCCAUAUUGAGAACAAUUAGACACCCUAUAACCCACAACUAUGCACACGUGUAUCAAUCUGACUGAUGGAUUGUGUUGUGCAGUAAGCAGGCUCAGGUGUAUAUCUGUGGCUCCUUCCACCUUCAAAGAAUAGGCCAGAGGACCAACCAUGGAGAAUAGUAAGACACUUCAUUUUUACUAUUUAUAUAACUACACUAUAUUGUUUGUCCUCGUGUGUCUGUGCUUGUUUUUCAGUAUAAAGUACUCUGCAGCCGCUCAGUGUGGACACCAGGUUAUAUCAGCUGUGUCGGUGAACCCCUCCCGCAUCUGAACUGGCUACACAGAGGGCACAGCAUGAUCAGAGUUUCUCGUCUGCAGGUAUGUUUUGAUGUGAGAGAGGAUGCCAACCCCCAGUCCCGUCAUCGCCACCUCACCCGCUCUUAAGAUAACCUUCGGGCCGACUGGGGGCCCAAGGCCGGUUAGGAGACACCGCUAGAGACACUAUUAUGGAACUGUGAUGAACUGAGAGAACAUGAAGUUUAGUAGCACUGUGAUUCAUUAAUCAUAUGCUGUCUUCCCUAGUAGCACUGUGAUUCAUUAAUCACA